rnacentral:rRNA from 1 species
UACGUAGGGUGCAAGCGUUGUCCGGAAUUUAUUGGGCGUAAAGAGCUCGUAGGCGGUCUGUCGCGUCGGCUGUGAAAACCCGAGGCUCAACCUCGGGCCUGCAGUCGAUACGGGCAAACUAGAGUACUGCAGGGGAGACUGGAAUUCCUGGUGUAGCGGUGAAAUGCGCAGAUAUCGGGAAGAACACCCGUGGCGAAGGCGGCUCUCUGGAACGCAACUGACGCUGAGACGGCGAAAAGCGUGG